rnacentral:rRNA from 1 species
GUAGAGACAACUAGGAGGUUGGCUUAGAAGCAGCCAUCCUUUAAAGAGUGCGUAAUAGCUCACUAGUCGAAUGAUUCUGCGCCGAAAAUGUAACGGGGCUAAGCAUAGUACCGAAGCUGCGGAAUUUAUAGUAAUAUAAAUUGGUAGGGGAGCGUACUUAGAGCAGAGAAGUUAGACCGGAAGGACUAAUGGAGCGCUAAGCAGUGAGAAUGCCGGUGUGAGUAACGAAAAGAUAGGUGAGAAUCCUAUCCGUCGAAAGCCUAAGGUUUCCAGGGGAAGGGUCGUCCGCCCUGGGUAAGUCGGGUCCUAAGGUGAGGCUGAAGAGCGUAGCCGAUGGACAACAGGUUGAGAUUCCUGUACCACCUAAUUAACUGAAGGAGUGACGGAGAAGGCUAACCAGAGCUAAUUAGUGGAUUUUAGUUUAAGCACAAAGGUGGGCAUAUAGGCAAAACCGUAUGCUAAUAAACAUUGAAGUGUGAAGACGCAAGUCUGGUGAAGCCACGCUUCCAAGAAAAGUUUCUAAGGCUAAUUAAUUAGGUGCCCGUACCGUAAACGGACACACGUAGGCGAGGAGAGAAUCCAAAGACGCGCGAGAAAACUCUUGUUAAGGAACUCUGCAAAAUUACCCCGUAACUUCGGAAUAAGGGGGGCUCAUUAGGGAUAAUGAGUCGCAGAUAAUAGGCCCAAGCGACUGUUUACCAAAAACAUAGGUCUCUGCUAAACCGCAAGGUGAAGUAUAGGGGCUGACGCCUGCCCAGUGCUGGAAGGUUAAGAGGAGGAGUUAGGAGCAAUCCGAAGCUUUGAAUUGAAGCCCCAGUAAACGGCGGCCGUAACUAUAACGGUCCUAAGGUAGCGAAAUUCCUUGUCGGGUAAGUUCCGACCCGCACGAAAGGCGUAACGAUUUGGGCGCUGUCUCAACUCGAGACUCGGUGAAAUCAUACUACCUGUGAAGAUGCAGGUUACCCGCGACUAGACGGAAAGACCCCAUGGAGCUUCACUGCAACUUGAUAUUGGUAUUGGGUAUUGGAUGUACAGGAUAGGUGGGAGACGAAGAGACCGGGACGCUAGUUUCGGAAGAGUCACCGUUGGGAUACCACCCUUUUAAUAUUUAGUAUCUAACUAGUAGUCAAAAGCGGGCUAUAGAACAGUGUCAGGUGGGCAGUUUGACUGGGGCGGUCGCCUCCUAAAGAGUAACGGAGGCGC